ACUCAGUGAAAUUGAACUCGCUGUGAAGAUGCAGUGUACCCGCGGCAAGACGGAAAGACCCCGUGAACCUUUACUAUAGCUUGACACUGAACAUUGAGCCUUGAUGUGUAGGAUAGGUGGGAGGCUUUGAAGUGUGGACGCCAGUCUGCAUGGAGCCGGCCUUGAAAUACCACCCUUUAAUGUUUGAUGUUCUAACGUUGGCCCCUGAUCGGGGUUGCGGACAGUGUCUGGUGGGUAGUUUGACUGGGGCGGUCU
rnacentral:rRNA from 1 species